UUCUUCGGAGAGUUUGAUCCUGGCUCAGGAUGAACGCUGGCGGCGUGCCUAAUACAUGCAAGUCGAGCGAACUGAUUAGAAGCUUGCUUCUAUGACGUUAGCGGCGGACGGGUGAGUAACACGUGGGCAACCUGCCUGUAAGACUGGGAUAACUCCGGGAAACCGGAGCUAAUACCGGAUAA
rnacentral:rRNA from 1 species